ACGCUUACACAAGUCAAGCGCUUCAAGUACCUCGGUCACUGGGUAACAGAGGAUGUGCAUCCACAAUGUUUGCGACAUCUCACACCGAUGACUUCUUUGCAAUAAUGCGGAAGAGAAGUGCAUCGUUAUUGCGUCGAGUUCGUGACAGUGGCAACAGUCUUUUGAGAAUCAUAUCGAGCAAGAUCGAGGGACUGCUGAUCAAUAGCCUUUGCAGUAGGCACUUGGAAGGAGAAAAAAAUAAAAUAAAAAAUGUAAUGGUAUAAAAUGUAUAUAUAUAAUGAGAGUUAUGUGUUAGAUUUUUUAAGUCACUAACAUAGAUAUAAGUAAUUACUACUAACAAAAUGUUAUGGUUUUAAAAAACAAAACUGAAAUAAAGAAUUAAUAAUAAUAAUAAUAAUAAAA